rnacentral:lncRNA from 1 species
UAGUGUGCUGGCUCAGUGAGAAUAGGAAAAGAGGAAACGUCCAUGAAAAAUUAUGAGUGUUCAAGCUUCAGUUACUGCAUGAUAGAAAUUUAAAAAAGCACAGCGUGGGCCGGUGAGAAGGCAGCCUAAUUAGAUGUAGUGGGCAUUAAACUUUGCUCAGAUGAACAGGUUACAUGUGAAGAGAAAUUAGCGGGGGUUAUCUAUUGCUGCAUGUGUAAACUAAUGACCAUAGAUUUAACAUCCGAUGGAUACACACAAUUGGGGUGACGUGGAAGCACCAUGUUUGAGCUUGCAAAUAAUAAAUGCAUUUAGUGGGUAUGAACUUUAUAGAGAUUAUAGAUAUGCAUCUUUUUAUAAAUUACUCACAGUCAAACAUAAACAAAGGGAUUACAAAAAAAAAAACCAUCCAGAUUCCUGUUUACCAAGCCGCAAGAAUCUUAGGGAACAUACUGACGGUUGAGAGCGUCGACUGAGAAAUUAUUAUGUAUCACCCUA